GAUGAACGCUAGCGGCAGGCCUAAUACAUGCAAGUCGAGGGGCAGCACGAGAUUUCGGUCUUGGUGGCGACCGGCGCACGGGUGCGUAACGCGUAUGCAAUCUACCCACUGCAGAGGGAUAGCCCGUGGAAACAUGGAUUAAUACCUCAUAAUACAGGGAGCCCACCUGGGCAUAUUGUUAAAGCUCCGGCGGCAGUGGAUGAGCAUGCGUCCCAUUAGUUAGUUGGUGAGGUAACGGCUCACCAAGACGAUGAUGGGUAGGGGUUCUGAGAGGAUGAUCCCCCACACUGGUACUGAGACACGGACCAGACUCCUACGGGAGGCAGCAGUAGGG
rnacentral:rRNA from 1 species